rnacentral:lncRNA from 1 species
GUCCAGAGGUCUUGAACAGGGUAGAAGCUUGCAACCUCCAGAUUUCCACCUGGGUGAGGUAUGAGUCGGUCUUUUCGUACUCCUCCUUACUGAUAAAUGCUUUGACUGACAUCUUUGCCUACAUUCGAUCUGUUUCAUUUCAUACACCGAAAAUCUUCUGAAAUGGGUAAUCUGCCCACAAGCACCACAGGGAAUUCCUCAACAGCUUUAGCAUCCGUAAUAUUACUCCAAAAUAGCAUUGCUGUUCUGCCUCUUACUUUAAGGUUGGGCAGAUGCCAAAAGCUGCAAACCCAUGGAACCAUCCAUGACCGGGUACACUUACCAGAUUUGUUUCCUUCUCUUAAAUUAACACAAAUAGGCCUACGAUGCUAAUUCCGGAGCCACGUUCAAAUUUCACUGUUUCAUCAAUCAUUUCGUGAGCUCAUUAGUUGAUUAACACUUUUUUGGUGGUGAUUAAAUUAGUGUACAUGCACACUCAUGUGAUCGUGUAAUCACUUAAAACACAGCCAGGCACAUAGAAGCUCUGUAUCAAUGUUUGCUAUUAUUACACAAGUACAGAGCUUCUCUCAGGUUGUAUGAUGGGAUCUUUGUCCUCAAAAUCAUUCUUCCUGCCAAAGGGCUUACAACAGUUUUUCUGACCUAUUUCAAUUAAAAAGAAAUUGUUUCUAUCUUGCCUUUACUUCUACUACUUCUUACUAGCACUUUCUUCUUUCAAGUCCUCUGAGGUUAUCACAUAAGAUGGGGUUCCUGGCAAAAUUCCUCAACACCUAGCAGAAAGACAGCAAAUAUUCCAUAGACUGAAAAAUGAGAAAUUCUUUUUAAAAAGGGCAGAAAAUAAAAGAGGUCCCAGAACCUCUUGACGCAUAUUUUGGUGGUGAAGAGAGAGCCAGAGGGCUUUGCUCCAGAGUAUGGUUUUGUUUGUAUCUCUGAAAGUGCACGAGUUGAAAUUCCAUAAAUAGAGGAGCUUCUGUACCACUUUCUAUUGCUAAUAUUUUCUUUUCCUCUGACGUCUGUCCUCAGCAUUUCAGUUCAUGGUGAGUGCUUAAUAAAUGCAUGAUGACAACAGAUGUUAGAAAGUGUUACGAGAGCACAGAGCAUUCUAGAAAAACCUAGGAAAACACCAGUGGGGGAAAACAUCAUUAUUUAAUAAAUUUAUGAAAACUUUAAAAGGAAAGCAUGUUGCUUUUCAACCAAGGACUUUCUAACAGAACAAACCUGUGGGGAGAUAAUUGUCUCAGAUCUAGCACAGGUCUGGAAACAGGCAACUUACCAAAGAGAAACCAGACUGCUUAGAUCAAGAGGACUUCCAAAUUGGAUGCUACUGCUUUAUGUAUCUGAGCUUUUAAAGACACAUUUGUAUUAUUUCUAGAAGCCUUAGGUAAAUGUAUUUGGGAUUCAUUUUGUCUGUAGAAAGCACCUGCAGCCCCAUUUCUUCUAGAACAAUAUAAAUUGUAACUAAAAACAAUGUUCC